UACGUAGGGUGCGAGCGUUAAUCGGAAUUACUGGGCGUAAAGCGUGCGCAGGCGGCGCGUUAAGACAGGUGUGAAAGCCCCGAGCUUAACUUGGGAAUUGCGCUUGUGACUGGCGUGCUGGAGUGUGGCAGAGGGAGGUGGAAUUCCACGUGUAGCAGUGAAAUGCGUAGAGAUGUGGAGGAACACCGGUGGCGAAGGCGGCCACCUGGACGGUAACUGACGCUGAGACGCGAAAGCGUGGGGAGCAAACAGG
rnacentral:rRNA from 1 species